CCUACGGGCGGCAGCAGUGGGGAAUAUUGCACAAUGGGCGCAAGCCUGAUGCAGCCAUGCCGCGUGUGUGAAGAAGGCCUUCGGGUUGUAAAGCACUUUUAGCGGGGAGGAAGGCGGUGAGGUUAAUAACCUCAUCGAUUGACGUUACCCGCAGAAGAAGCACCGGCUAACUCCGUGCCAGCAGCCGCGGUAAUACGGAGGGUGCAAGCGUUAAUCGGAAUUACUGGGCGUAAAGCGCACGCAGGCGGUCUGUCAAGUCGGAUGUGAAAUCCCCGGGCUCAACCUGGGAACUGCAUUCGAAACUGGCAGGCUAGAGUCUUGUAGAGGGGGGUAGAAUUCCAGGUGUAGCGGUGAAAUGCGUAGAGAUCUGGAGGAAUACCGGUGGCGAAGGCGGCCCCCUGGACAAAGACUGACGCUCAGGUGCGAAAGCGUGGGGAGCAAACAGGAUUAGAUACCCGGGUAGUC
rnacentral:rRNA from 1 species